rnacentral:rRNA from 1 species
UACGAAGGGUGCAAGCGUUGUCCGGAAUUAUUGGGCGUAAAGAGCUCGUAGGCGGUCUGUCGCGUCGGAUGUGAAAAUCCAGGGCUUAACCCUGGGCCCGCAUUCGAUACGGGCAGACUAGAGUUCGGUAGGGGAGACUGGAAUUCCUGGUGUAGCGGUGAAAUGCGCAGAUAUCAGGAGGAACACCGGUGGCGAAGGCGGGUCUCUAGGCCGACACUGACGCUGAGGAGCGAAAGCGUGGGGAGCGAACAGG